rnacentral:rRNA from 1 species
GGGUAGAGCACUGUUUCGGCUAGGGGGCCAUCCCGGCUUACCAACCCGAUGCAAACUGCGAAUACCGGAGAAUGUUAUCACGGGAGACACACGGCGGGUGCUAACGUCCGUCGUGAAGAGGGAAACAACCCAGACCGCCAGCUAAGGUCCCAAAGUCAUGGUUAAGUGGGAAACGAUGUGGGAAGGCCCAGACAGCCAGGAUGUUGGCUUAGAAGCAGCCAUCAUUUAAAGAAAGCGUAAUAGCUCACUGGUCGAGUCGGCCUGCGCGGAAGAUGUAACGGGGCUAAACCAUGCACCGAAGCUGCGGCAGCGAUAUGAAAAUAUUGUUGGGUAGGGGAGCGUUCUGUAAGCCUGCGAAGGUGGCCUGUGAGGGUUGCUGGAGGUAUCAGAAGUGCGAAUGCUGACAUAAGUAACGAUAAAGCGGGUGAAAAGCCCGCUCGCCGGAAGACCAAGGGUUCCUGUCCAACGUUAAUCGGGGCAGGGUGAGUCGACCCCUAAGGCGAGGCCGAAAGGCGUAGUCGAUGGGAAACGGGUUAAUAUUCCCGUACUUGGUGUUACUGCGAAGGGGGGACGGAGAAGGCUAUGUUGGCCGGGCGACGGUUGUCC